CCAGCCCUGGUGGUUUUGGUCAGCAUCUUUACAGUAAGCCGUGGGGAAGUGUGGAGUUGCUCGAGUGUGGCAGUGCUUUUGGCCUUGAGCCCCACACGCAGGUCACUUUCAUCAGAACAGGAAAACGAAACAGGCUCCCCUGAAUGAUUUAUGGGAGGGCUUGUGUUUUGGGGAUGUGAUACUGCAAUUUGUGUUAUAGGACCAAGACAUCUGUUUCCAGGGAGGUGCGUUCUCUUACCAUGAGCCUUUCCCACGAGGGAUCUUUCGCCCCGGCCCGACUCCCAGUUCCAGCCUGAACACUGGUCAACUGAAGACAACGCUGCCGCCUUCAUCUCUUCCCUGCCUGUCCUGCUUACAACAACAGCUGUAAGAAGUUUAUACCCACAUUAAGCCCCCAGAGGCAGGCUGGCAGCCAGCCUUUGCCACUGGUGUAGAGAACUGAGUCAACCACCCGGGGUUCCUGGCUGCUCCCCCUGAGACCCUUUCCCAGCCUGUUCCCUGAGACAAGAGUCUUGGCUGGGCACCUGCUGCACUGUGGACGUGCGGAUGCGGCCUCCAGAAGCAGGAGGGGAGCCAUGGCUGGCUUUUCUGAGAUGUGUUGAGUGGCUUGUCAUUGAAGACUGUUUCCCCACUCAGGCAGCUGCAUGCCCCAAACUUAUUUUGCAACUGGCUUCAAAUGAUUUGAAGAAAGGUUCAUGGAUCUCCCUUCAGCAGAUUUUGGGAUCUGAACAUUGUGUUGCCCCCAAAUGUCUGCCUCUUGAGAGUUCUCCACCCAGUGGUCCUGCUUGCAUCUUUGGAGGAAGGUGGCAGUGCACUCAGUGGAGGCCGAGGGUGCCUCAGAGGGAUUUCUCUUGGAUCUACUGUCCUACCCCAGCUUCGAUGUUGCAGUUGGAGAAGGCCCUGGAUAUCUCAGGGUAAUCUACCAUCCCCAGCCCUACAGCAUACUGGCCCUGUGCACUAGAUAAGAACAAUAGCAGAGGGUUGUGGGCUGGUGCAGACACACACUCUCCAGGGUCCUAAUCUGCCAUGCCAACCCACUGACUGCUGCAAGUCUAUUAAAAGUUUGGUGGGGCUGAGCAUGGUGGCUCAUGUUUAUAAUCUCAGCACUUUGGGAGACCGAGGUGGGCAGAUCACCUGAGGUCAGGAGUUUGAGACCAGCCCGGACAACAUGGCAAAACCUCUCUUUACUAAAAAUAUGAAAAUUAGCUGGGUGUGGUGGUGGGCACUUGUAAUCCCAGCUACUUGGGAGCCUGAGAAAGAGAAUUGCUUGAACCCAGAAGCAGAGGUUGCAGUGAGCCGAGAUUGUGCCACUGCACUCCAGACUGGGCGACAGAGCGGAAUUCUGUCUCAAAAAAUACAAAAUAAAUAAAUAAAAUAAAUAAAUAAAAAAACAAAACAAAAUUAAUUAAAAGAAAGUUUGGUGGUUUUUCCUUACCCCAUCCAUGGCAGAUUCAUUUUCUCUGCUCCUUCCUAGUGAUGAAAAUGGCUCUCUUCUUGCUAGGAAGGAAUCUUCACUUUCUGAAAUUUAGUUCAUUUUACUUCUUUGCAUCUGCAGCUCUCUGAUAGGUUUUAAACAAUUGUGAUAUUGUACCUUACCUGGUUCAUUCUCAUUGUUAGGGUGGGAGCAAGUCUCCAGUGAUUUUUGGCAUCCUAAAUGGAAAUAGAGCUCAGUUCUUUUUGUUUUUAUUUAUUUACUUUCUAUUUCCAGUAACUAGAUGCCAAUCUAUGCAGCUGGGAUAGGAAUAGAUUUGAGUGAUCCCAACUCAAAAUCCUGAUUCCUUUCCUAUGCCAAAAACUUUCUGUUGGAUAAAACUCAUAAUUUCUGACACCUUCUCUCACUUGAAGUUGCCCCCAAGAGGCUCUUCAGAACCCAUUAAAUGGAUUUCUGUUGGGCCCACCCAUCAGUGUUAUGGAGACGUCUAAAUGUUACUAUUGAAGGCAUGGCAAACUCCUCACCCCUCAGCUACUCAAUGCAUCUAUUUUUACAAUAAGAAUAAGCUGGAGAGGGGCAAUCCCUCAAAAGCAUUUUCAGCUUGGGUGACAUCAAGGCUUACAGAAAAGGGAGAAAUUUCAGGGUGAGAGUAGGGUAGGAACACCUACCUACUAACGUUUCUUUGGUAUCUUCUCUGAGCCACCCUUUUGCAGUUAAUCCUGUGGUACUUCCUUGAGAUAGGUCUUAUCAUUUAACACACAAGGAAGCUGAGACUCCACGUCGGGAUAUAACUUGCUGGAGGUAAGUGGCAGAGAUGGGAUUUGAACCCACAUCUGACUCAGCCUAAAACCUAGGCUUAAAAAAAUUUUUUUUGACCGAUAUGGAGGAAGGCAUGGCAGAAGACGGAGUAGGCAGACCACUGCUCCCCAGUUGGGCCGGGGACUGACCCGGCAGGUGUCGGCCCUGGGGUCAGAACCAUGUUGGAGGCUGUAGCUUCUGAGGACAGUGCUCUUCUGUCAGGAUCCCACCUCACAAUGGAUUCAGGUACUCUCUGGUAACCUUGAGCAGUGCGUUUAGUUUUUUUCUGAACAUCAGCAGCUUUCCUGAAAAUUGGAGUUGUCCCAAAUUCUUCUAAAACCUUCCUGUGGGAAAUUGGGAGCCACUCCUCCAAAGGUCUCUCUCCCAAUAACUGGAUUUAUAGAAAGGAAAGGACAGAAAGAAGCAGCCCCCACGUUCACCCCAGCCCCUGCCCAUCCCAGUCUGCACAAGCCUUCUCGCCACACCAGAGGCCACCUCACGCUCGGCCUCUUCUCCCUGGCACGGUGGCUCACACAGGAAAAGCCAAAGUGUAAUUAGCUAAUAGCAGAGCUCCUCCGUUAAUGGAAAGGGCAUUUCAAACUUAUGCAAACUGAUACCGUGGGAUUUGUGAGAAAUCAUCAAUAGGAUGCAACAGAGAGGACUCACAGGUCACUUGUCAAGUGGGGACAAAGCUUUUCUCAUUUAAGCUUUGAGACCCAGAGUGGGUCCCUGAAUCGCUGGCCUGCUGGGAUGUGAGAGCACUGGGGGAGGAAGCUGGGACCCCUUUUUGGAGCAUCUUUUCCCUCAUAACAGUUCCGGUCAGUACUGCUACAUACCCAACAGGCAUGAUCUCAGCUGUUCCUCACCACAACCCAAUGAGGUAGGUACUAGUAUUGUCCCCAUUUUAUAGCUGAGGAAACUGAGACUCAGAGAGGUAAGUAACUAGACUAACGCUAAGCAUCUAGUCAAUGGUGAGCCUGGAACAUGAGCCCAAGACUGCUUAAAUUGCAGGUCAAGGUGGUUAACCACUUUCCUGGUACCUUUCCAUUCAGUGGUUGGCCUACUCUAAAACCUAGGUUACUAACAGAAGAUGACAUGGGAUCCUCCGAGGCUGGUUAUUGAUUACCACACCUCUUUUCUCCUCUUCUUGGGCUUAUGCCCACACUAUAUUUCCCAGACUUCCUUGCAGUUGGGUGUAGCCAUGUGACUGAGAGCUGGCCAUUGUCAUGUGAGUAGAAGUGUUUCCCCUCUACCCCCUUAGGUGAUCUUCAUGCUCAUUCCAUGACUGGAGUGGAAGUGAUUUCCAGGACUACCUUGAGAACCAUGUGUUGAAGGUGGUUGAUCCAUAAAUUAGAAAGAGCCUGGGUCCCUGAUUCAUCACUUGGAGGAGAAUGUUCCUACCAAGCAUACUUGUAUCACACUCUUUUAUUGGGUUAACCCACUUAUGCAUGAAGGUUUACCAGUUGUAGCAGCUGAUGCUACCUUAAGCUAUGCAAGUGUUACCCAUCAGGAAGGGGUUGGAGGGCCACUGAGGAGCUGAGGGCAUGACUCUGAAUACUCCCUCUGCUUAACUUGCCUAGGGAGGAAGGAGUGAGGAAGCUCGGUCUUUCUCGCUGCACAGAUUCAGGUUUGGGUGCAAGGCUUAAUGGAUUAAUGAACCUUGAACAAUUUAAUUUUUCUAAAAUCACUAUUUUUUGAAAGUUAGAAUGAUAUUUGCAUCAUUCUGUAUGAAUUUAAUUUAGUCAACAGAUUUUGUUGAGCACUUACUCUGUGUUGAUAAUUGUUCUAGGUGCUGGGGAGAGGAGCAGUGAGCAAACACAAAAUCCCUGCCUGUUUAGAACUGAUCUUCUAGUGGUGGUGGUUGGGGCCAGGAGCAGCUGGACAGUGAAUUACUAAGUAAGUAUGCCAUGUGGUGAUUAGUGAUGUGGGGAACUAAUAAAGCAGAGUUGGGGGAGUGAGAAUACCAAGCAUGAUGGGUGGAGGGCAGGUGGUCAGGGAAGGUGUGUCUACUUGAGGACAUUUGAGCAGAUACCUGAAAGUAAAGAAGUGGGCCAUGUGGAGAUCUUUGGGGAAAGGGUGCUGCAGGCAGAGGGACUGCAGGGUCAUUGUAAAGGCCCCAGGCCAAAGAGCAUGUGUCAUGUUGGAGGAGCAGCAAGGUGG
ensembl:lincRNA